UACGUAGGGUGCAAGCGUUGUCCGGAAUUAUUGGGCGUAAAGAGCUCGUAGGCGGUCUGUCGCGUCGGAUGUGAAAACCCAGGGCUCAACCCUGGGCCUGCAUUCGAUACGGGCAGACUAGAGUUCGGUAGGGGAGACUGGAAUUCCUGGUGUAGCGGUGAAAUGCGCAGAUAUCAGGAGGAACACCGGUGGCGAAGGCGGGUCUCUGGGCCGAAACUGACGCUGAGGAGCGAAAGCGUGGGAGCAAACAGG
rnacentral:rRNA from 1 species